UACGUAGGGACCGAGCGUUGUCCGGAAUCAUUGGGCGUAAAGAGCGUGUAGGCGGCUUGCUAAGUCUUGCGUGAAAUCUCGGGGCUCAACCCCGAGCGGUCGUGGGAAACUGGCAGGCUAGAGUGCGGGAGAGGAGAAUGGAAUUCCUGGUGUAGCGGUGAAAUGCGCAGAUAUCAGGAAGAACACCCGUGGCGAAGGCGGUUCUCUGGAACGCAACUGACGCUGAGACGCGAAAGCGUGGGGAGCAGACAGG
rnacentral:rRNA from 1 species